rnacentral:rRNA from 1 species
CAGUAGCCGCGGGAAUACAGAGGGUGCGAGCGUUAAUCGGAUUUACUGAGCGUAAAGCGUGCGUAGGCGGCUUUUUAAGUCGGAUGUGAAAUCCCUGAGCUUAACUUAGGAAUUGCAUUCGAUACUGGGAAGCUAGAGUAUGGGAGAGGAUGGUAGAAUUCCAGGUGUAGCGGUGAAAUGCGUAGAGAUCUGGAGGAAUACCGAUGGCGAAGGCAGCCAUCUGGCCUAAUACUGACGCUGAGGUACGAAAGCAUGGGGAGCAAACAGGAUUAGAUACCCCUGUAGUCCCUGUCUCUUAUAA